rnacentral:rRNA from 2 species
AACACGUGGGUGAUCUGCCCUGCACUCUGGGAUAAGCCUGGGAAACUGGGUCUAAUACCGGAUAUGAGCUCCUGUCGCAUGGCGGGGGUUGGAAAGGUUUACUGGUGCAGGAUGGGCCCGCGGCCUAUCAGCUUGUUGGUGGGGUAAUGGCCUACCAAGGCGACGACGGGUAGCCGGCCUGAGAGGGCGACCGGCCACACUGGGACUGAGACACGGCCCAGACUCCUACGGGAGGCAGCAGUGGGGAAUAUUGCACAAUGGGCGAAAGCCUGAUGCAGCGACGCCGCGUGAGGGAUGACGGCCUUCGGGUUGUAAACCUCUUUCAGCAGGGACGAAGCGAGAGUGACGGUACCUGCAGAAGAAGCACCGGCCAACUACGUGCCAGCAGCCGCGGUAAUACGUAGGGUGCGAGCGUUGUCCGGAAUUACUGGGCGUAAAGAGCUCGUAGGCGGUUUGUCGCGUCGUCCGUGAAAACUUGGGGCUCAACCCCAAGCUUGCGGGCGAUACGGGCAGACUUGAGUACUGCAGGGGAGACUGGAAUUCCUGGUGUAGCGGUGAAAUGCGCAGAUAUCAGGAGGAACACCGGUGGCGAAGGCGGGUCUCUGGGCAGUAACUGACGCUGAGGAGCGAAAGCGUGGGUAGCGAACAGGAUUAGAUACCCUGGUAGUCCACGCCGUAAACGGUGGGCGCUAGGUGUGGGUUUCCUUCCACGGGAUCCGUGCCGUAGCUAACGCAUUAAGCGCCCCGCCUGGGGAGUACGGCCGCAAGGCUAAAACUCAAGGAAUUGACGGGGGCCCGCACAGCGGCGGAGCAUGUGGAUUAAUUCGAUGCAACGCGAAGAACCUUACCUGGGUUUGACAUAUACC